AGCAGUUUGGUCUGGUGGAAGAUGCCCCCUGCUCAUGGCUGGGGAGUUGGAACAAGAUGGUCCUUGAGGUCCCUUCCAAAAAUUGGCA